AUGCAUGCGCGGUGCGCCCGUGCCGACGAGCAACUUGGCAACAGGAAACAGUCCUCCUACGACGAGUGGCCCAGCACUUUCGAGGCGGCGGCGGUGGACGUUUUCUGCCUCGGAUCAGCUUGCCCGCACCGCCGCACGCCGGCGGCCGCGGCGGCGGCGGACGCAUCCCCGAUGGCCUCGGCUGGCUCCGGCGGAUGUGGUAUCUCAGCCUAUGCGACAACGCGUUCGCCGGCAAGAUACCUGACGUGCUCCGCAAUUGCACCGCCCUCGACGUCGCGUACCUCAACAACAACAACCUCGAUUGUCGGCGGCGUUCCACGGUGGCUCGACGCGUUGCCGAAUCUCAUGGUGCUCCGGCUCAGCCACAACUCGAUCUCCGGCCACAUCCCGCCAUCGCUGGCGAACCUCACGAAGAUCGUGCAGCUCGAGUUCGACCAGAACCUUCUGGAAAGUUCCAUCCCCGACGGCUUGCCACGCCUCCCAGCGCUCCGCAUGUUAGCCUUGUCGCAGAACAGCCUCACCGGAGAGAUCCUGCCGAGUUUCUUCAACAUGACGUCGUUGCGAGGCCUCGCACUCGCGAACAACGUGUUCCGCAGGCGUCGGACGCUGCCGCGGAGAGCAUCCGCGCGGGCGCGGGAGACGAUGAGAGGAGCGCCUGCCCCAGGGAGGGGAAGCUCCGCAGGAGCGGGGCGUCCAUCUUGUCAGAGCCGUACGCCGACCGAUGACGGCGGCGCCUGGGAGUUCUUGGACAACCUGACCAACUGCAACGCCUUGGCUGAGAUAUUCCUCGACGGCAACAUGUUCGCCGGCGUGAUGUUGAGCUCCGUCGUGGUUCCAUCCGCCAUUGGCCGAUUGGCGACCUCACGCAGCUACUCAAGCUCGACCUGAGUGGUAACUC
rnacentral:lncRNA from 1 species